CUGCUCUGCCCGCCCCUGGCACGAGACUCCUUUGCCCUUCAGACGUUCCCAUUUCUGACAGUACCAGCGAGGAGGAUUUACAGAGCCGAGAGGAUCCCUCCUGUGAAGUUGGGUUCAUGCUGUUUCGACAGCUCCUGCUCAGAGAGACAACAUUCACUUUAAAGCACUUUUUUAAGGACAGAAUUCUUGCCUAUCCUAAACUGAAGCUACUAGAUACGAAAACUAAUUAAUUCUUGCGGGAUUAGGAAAUUAGCGGUGUUUAAUCAAAGAAUCAUUAACCCAAGGAUGUCUCCAGCUUGGCUCUCCGCUGUUCUAGUCACAGCUACUCUACAAGGCACCUAUGGAGCAGAUUCAGUGACCCAAACUGAAGGCAGAGUUACCAUCUCCCAAGGGGACCCGUUGCGUCUGAAUUGUACCUAUCAGUUUUCUGCCUCUGCUACUUCUUACCCCUUCUGGUACGUGCAGCUCCCCAAUCAGCCCCCCAGGCUCUUCCUGAGGGACCUGGCACGGGAGGACUCGGAUGAAGGGAUCAGAAAAGGGUUCGAUGCCACCCACGAUAAAAAGCACAAAUCCUUCCACCUGUGGAAAGCGACCAGCGAACUGAGCGACUCCGCGACCUAUUACUGCGCCGCGAGAGACACAGUGACACGGACCGGCAGGGAGUUGAGCAAAAACCGAGCAGGAGCAGAGAGCUAUGACGUGGGUGUGCGGACUGGCGGGAGCCACACGGGGACUAGAGGGUUAAUUACCUAGCCGCCUGAAUAAAUACCCUCCCUCCGCCCCCCAGCAACUCUCCCCCAGCCUGGGGCCUGAGUCUCUCUUUUUUGCACGCUGAAGUUUUAUGAAUUCAAAACUUACCAUGAA